CUGUCGGGUUAAAGUGAUUAGUGUGUCCGGACUCCGGAAUAUGUUGUACUGUAUACUUAUUAGUGAGAUGAUCUCUGAUGAACGGUACGGCGGCGCAUGCAUAUAAGAGAAAACAAUGUCUGCUACUCGAGCUGCUGUGGACGGACCUACUACUACACCACUUCCUGAACCUACACAACCCUUUAAAGUCAGAGACAGAGUCGUGGUGAAGGUGCUCCCCAGGAACAAGAGCCCAGGAGACUUCACCUAUGGUCCAGAGACAGAGGUCGUAGCAGUUACCCGAACAGCAGUCCUGACAGAGGAAAGUCCUACCUGGAUCCAUGCAUCCCGAGUAAAAAAGGUUCCUAGACCAGACCUAGAGAGGGAAGCAAGUGAUUCCAGUGAGGUACGAACCGGGGCAGACAGCCCUGACCUCCCACCUAGCGAAGAAAGAAGAACAGAAGAAGAUGAGGAACCUGUCCCCUAUCUCUAUCCUGGGGACUAUCUCGAUAGCCCUACUGGCCCUCAUUCACCUCACAAUAUGUGAAGUCGACAUCACACAAACAGAUGGGGUCCCCACCUUGUGGUACAAUUCCUCCAAUACACACGUAGCCACAUACAUCCUUGAUUAUUUUAUGUUCCCCAAAAUUGCUGAUGACAAAUAUUAUAUACAACAAAGGAGGAAAUCAGGAAUGUCUGAGACAGUAUAUAUUUGUGUUACUGACGAAUGGUACUAUGACAUUAGAUAUUAUGGAUCUAAUUGUAAUUCCUGGGAAGCUGUGGGGUGGAAUACAGGAGCAGAUUGGAAAUAUGGCCCAUCAUUUGCAAAAAAUAGAUAUAGCAAAUAUCCCCAAAACAAACCUUUAAAGCCCCAUAUUGCCACUUCUAAAGAUAUGGUGGCUAUUACUAACCCUACCUUUGAAGACACCCUAGCUAUUGAAACUGGUUUCUCUGACAUUAAUUUUUGGUUGGAAUGGAUGAAGUAUAGUGCUAACAAACACAAUAAAAGCAACUGUUAUGUCUGUGGCAAAUCUAGGCCCCACCUAGGUACAGUGCCCCUUAAUAUACCCCUAGAACAGGAAAAUUGUUUUUUCAGCCUUUUUAAUGACACCAAAACAAAUGACAGUCAGUGCGAAAUGUGGAAAAGGGAAUAUCCCAUAUUGUCAAAAAAUCCCAACCCAGGAAGCACCAUAACCAUAUAUCCUGGAAACUAUACCUGUUAUACAUCUAACACCACCACAGGGAGAAAUUUAAAAACCUUCCCACCAGGGUAUUGUGCAAAUAAGCAUAUUCAUACUUGUAACUUUAAUUCUUGUAGGCAUUAUAGUUUAUUGUGUAAUUCCCUGUGGAAAGAAACUUACCUCCAAAGGCAUUGAUAAGGCCCUGAUGUACUAUGAUAUAACCACCAGUCCUGUCACCUCCUUUGAUAGUAAGGGACCCGACGAUUAUGUCCAAUAUCUCAAGAACUGGAGGAACAAGAAAGGAGCCUCACUCAAGAAUCAUGUCAUAUAAUAAUCAUGAUUCUAAGAGGGGAUUGAAGGGUUAACUCUUCUGUGCUUUGUAAAUAUUACUUUUUAUAUGAUCAAUUUCCUUAUAAUAGUUACAGUGUAAAAGUGAAUAUUUCUACCUCCCUAAUGAAAGGUUAAAACAUGCUAUAUGAACUGUUAUGGGUUUGCAUAGAUACGUAUUACCCUGUGCUGAAUACCUUUAUCUCCUCAUACAAUACCAGGCUUGUAUGUGUCUGUUUCUCAAGGUCAGUUCUAUACCAGAUGAAACCUGUUACAGACUUUGUUAAAUGUUUUGAGAAACUUGUAGAAAACCCAUAUAUGAACAUCCGCCUUUUUCAAUUCUGCCUGGUAACUACCAACAAGCCAAUGGGAGUGUAACGACAUGUCAGUUACACCCAUAUACAUUGUCUUAUAUACUUUUGUUAACCUCAUAAUAAACAGUGUGAAUUUUUA